rnacentral:rRNA from 1 species
CCUACGGGAGGCAGCAGUGGGGAAUAUUGGACAAUGGGCGAAAGCCUGAUCCAGCAAUGCCGCGUGAGUGAUGAAGGCCUUAGGGUUGUAAAGCUCUUUUACCAGGGAUGAUAAUGACAGUACCUGGAGAAUAAGCUCCGGCUAACUCCGUGCCAGCAGCCGCGGUAAUACGGAGGGAGCUAGCGUUGUUCGGAAUUACUGGGCGUAAAGAGUACGUAGGCGGUUAUUCAAGUCAGAGGUGAAAGCCCGGGGCUCAACCCCGGAACGGCCUUUGAAACUAGGUAGCUAGAAUCUUGGAGAGGUCAGUGGAAUUCCGAGUGUAGAGGUGAAAUUCGUAGAUAUUCGGAAGAACACCAGUGGCGAAGGCGACUGACUGGACAAGUAUUGACGCUGAGGUACGAAAGCGUGGGGAGCAAACAGGAUUAGAUACCCUGGUAGUCCACGCCGUAAACGAUGAUAACUAGUUGUUCGGGCACUUGGUGCCUGAGUGACGCAGCUAACGCAUUAAGUUAUCCGCCUGGGGAGUACGGUCGCAAGNUUAAAACUCAAAGGAAUUGACGG